rnacentral:rRNA from 1 species
GAUGAACGCUGGCGGCGUGCCUAAUACAUGCAAGUCGAGCGAACAGAUAAGGAGCUUGCUCCUUUGACGUUAGCGGCGGACGGGUGAGUAACACGUGGGUAACCUACCUAUAAGACUGGGAUAACUUCGGGAAACCGGAGCUAAUACCGGAUAAUAUUUCGAACCGCAUGGUUCGAUAGUGAAAGAUGGUUUUGCUAUCACUUAUAGAUGGACCCGCGCCGUAUUAGCUAGUUGGUAAGGUAACGGCUUACCAAGGCGACGAUACGUAGCCGACCUGAGAGGGUGAUCGGCCACACUGGAACUGAGACACGGUCCAGACUCCUACGGGAGGCAGCAGUAGGGAAUCUUCCGCAAUGGGCGAAAGCCUGACGGAGCAACGCCGCGCGAGUGAUGAAGGUCUUCGGAUCGUAAAACUCUGUUAUUAGGGAAGAACAUACGUGUAAGUAACUGUGCACGUCUUGACGGUACCUAAUCAGAAAGCCACGGCUAACUACGUG